CUGACGGAAACACACGGUUUGCAGAAGCACCCUUACUUGACUCAGAUCUAUGAGACAAGAGAAAAAUGGGCAAAACCAUACUUCAAUGGCAAAUUCUGUGCAAAAAUGACCAGCACACAACGCAGCGUGAGUGCAAACCAUAUGAUCAAAACCUAUGUUCCAGCAAGCUGCCCCAUGCACCUAUUCGUGCGGCAAUAUAUGAGGCUUCUUUUCGAUAGAGAAGCAGCUAAGAACUACGAGGAAAGGCACACUAUGAUAGUAAGUUUUCAUUUUAAAUUUUCAUAA
rnacentral:rRNA from 1 species